rnacentral:lncRNA from 1 species
CAAAAUUGAUACUUUUUGAUAAUUUUAUAACAUCCUAGAUCAAAAUUCUGAUAUUUUAUAUUAAAAUUAUGAUAUCCUGUAGCUAAAAUAUCUCUUAAAGAUAGUUUUGAUAAUAUUAUUGUAGGGAUUUGGAUGCGCAGCGAAAUUGAAAUUUAAAAAUUUUUAACAUGCAACUAUAAUAGAAAAUAUGUGAUCUAAACUCCAAUCCCAAAAUCAUCUUGAUGCAUUCAAUCAAACAAGAACAUAAAUCACAUAGCAUAUAUAUAAAAGAGAGAUUGGAAAUGUUAUACCAAACAGAA